rnacentral:rRNA from 1 species
UGGGGGAUUUUGCACAAUGGGCGCAAGCCUGAUGCAGCGACGCCGCGUGAGGGAUGAAGGCCUUCGGGUUGUAAACCUCUUUCGCUGGGUUGAAAGGCCAUGCUUUGGGUGUGGUUGAUUUGAACUGGUAAAGAAGUACCGGCUAACUACGUGCCAGCAGCCGCGGUAAUACGUAGGGUACUAGCGUUGUCCGGAUUUAUUGGGCAUAAAGGGCUUGUAGGUGGUUUGUCGCGUCUGUCGUGAAAUCCUGUGGCUUAACCAUGGGCUUGCGGUGGGUACGGGCAGGCUUGAGUGCGGUAGGGGAGACUGGAAUUCCUGGUGUAGCGGUGGAAUGCGCAGAUAUCAGGAGGAACACCGGUGGCGAAGGCGGGUCUCUGGGCCGUUACUGACACUGAGGAGCGAAAGCGUGGGGAGCGAACAGG